UACGUAGGGUGCGAGCGUUGUCCGGAAUUAUUGGGCGUAAAGAGCUCGUAGGCGGUUCGUCGCGUCGGCUGUGAAAUCCCGAGGCUCAACCUCGGGUCUGCAGUCGAUACGGGCGGACUGGAGUACUGCAGGGGAGACUGGAAUUCCUGGUGUAGCGGUGAAAUGCGCAGAUAUCAGGAGGAACACCGGUGGCGAAGGCGGGUCUCUGGGGCCGAAAAUUGACGCUGAGGAGCGAAAAGCGUGGGGAGCAAAC
rnacentral:rRNA from 1 species